GAAAGAACUCCAGGUACUUUUGGUGACUUAGGUCCAACAGGAAAAUGGGUAACCAAUUAACCUGGGAGAUAUUCCCACAUCCUGUUUUUGAAAGAAAGAAACCAUUUUGAAAGUUAGAAAUGAGUUGGAACAAUGCUGCAUUUAAGCUGAGCUCAAGCAGCAGAGUUUUGCUCGACGAAUGAGCCCAAAUCUCGGCCCCAGAGGUCAAGGGGGCAUGGACAGAGCACAGGCUAGGAUUUGCUCGGGGAACAGUGCCUGGGGCAGAGGACGUACGAGGGGAGGAGCUCCUUGCCCGUGAGGCUGCCGGGAGCCCGGAGGUGGGCUGGAAGGACUGGAAGAACCUGGCUCUGCGGCGGAAGCGAAGCGAAAAGAACACUGAAGCGCCAAGAAUUCAAUUAACUUGCCCAAGGCCACACCACUAUGAAGCCAUAGAGCUGAGGCUUAAUCCAAGGCUGUCCGACUCCAGGACCUGAUCUCUUAAUCACAGUAAGAUAAUGCUUCAUGUGGACAUGUACUUGUUAUCUCUGCCAAGCAUGCAUUUUGUUAAACUCUCAGCAAGCAAAAUAUUGGCUACAUGUACGAUCAAGAUUGGAAACAUGGGAACAAGGAAUGAGAAGCUAACAAAACACCAGAAGUCUUCCCAGAACCUUUAAAAUCAUGAUUUAUAACUAUAACCUCCUUUCUCUUGCAUAACCGAUCUCUUUUCCUCUAGUGGAUCACUACUGGCAAAAAAGAAACCUGCUCUAAUGUCCAUUUUAAAAACAAACAUCAAAACCUGUCUUGAUUCCACAUCACGCCUUUCUGGUUGCCUUCCUAUUUUCUGCUCCCCUUGACUACACUGUGUUCACUGCUUCUUCAUUCAUCUCCCUUCUUUCCCAACCUGCUCCAAUAGAGAUCGUGUCCUCACCCCUCCCCUGACACAGCCCUCGUAAAAGCCACAAGUGACCUCCAUGUUAUCAAAUCCAUCGCUUACUUUUUAGGCCUUAACUUGUGAAACUUUUCAUCAGCCUUUGGCACAGUUGGCCAUUGGGUCAGCACUCCUUGAAACUCUUCUUAUGCCUCUGUCAUCAUCCUCUCCUGGUUCUCUUUCAACUACACAGGCUCCUCUUUCUCACUCUCUCUCCCUGGUUCUUGGUUCUGAUUCUAGGCACCUGGUCCCCCCUCCUCCACCCAGGGCUUGGUUCUGGGACCCAGGCCAUUCCCCAUCCACAUGUCUUCCCCCAUGGUAACCUCAUCCAGUCCCAUGGCUCCCAGUGCUCCUUUUAUAGCUCACGCUGUGACAUGACAUCUGCUCAGGCUCCUCCCAAGUUUUAGCUGCCACCUUGAUGUUUCUUCUUCAGGUUUAAUAGGCAUUUCAUACUUAACACGUCUAAGACUGAGGUCUUGAUUUGAGCCCCUAAACUUGCUCUUUCCUCAGAGUUCUCCAUCUCAUAAAUGGCAUCAUAGUUUACCCAGCUGCUCAGAUUAAAACAACAAUAACAACCACCACCUUGAUUUCUCUCUCCUCCAUCCCUAACUCAUUCAUGACAAGGUGGCUUAACUAACUCUACAUGAUAUCAGAAAUCAGUUGACUUCUAUGUAUCCCCAUCCCCCCUGUAACCAUUGUAAUCCAAAGCAUCACCAUCCCUCACUACUACAAUAGCCUUACCUCUGGUUUGUCUGCUUGUUCUUACUACUCAUUCAUUCUGACAACUGCCACCAGAGCCAAUCAGAUCAGGUGACUCCCCUGCUUAAACCUGUCCUUUGGUUCUUAUCUCAAAUAAAACUGAAACGCGUUGCUUCGGCUUUCAAGCUCCUACAUACACUGCCCUCUGAGUUCACCUAGUUCCCUACUCUCCCUCUCCAUCUAAGCUCUACCACGCCAGCCUUCUUUCUAGUUCCCACAUAUGCCAAGCCCCUUUCCUGGCUGGUCCUUCUGCCUGUAAUUCACUUCGCCUAGAUUUUUAAAAAUCAUAUA